rnacentral:rRNA from 1 species
AUUGAACGCUGGCGGCAGGCCUAACACAUGCAAGUCGAGCGAGCGGCGGACGGGUGAGUAAUGUAUGGGGAUCUGCCCGAUAGCGGGGGAUCACUACUGGAAACGGUAGCUAAUACCGCAUACUAUUGGAGCGGCCGAUAUCGGAUUGGCUAGUUGGUGGGGUAAAGGCUCACCAAGGCAACGAACCGUAGCUGGUUUGCGAGGCCGACCAGCCACACUGGGACGGAGAAACGGCCCAGACUCCGACGGUAGGCAGCAGUGGGGAAUUUUGGACAAUGGGGGAAACCCUGAUCCAGCCAUACCGCGUGUAUGAGAAGGCCUUCGGGUUGUAAAGUACUUUUGGCAGAGAAGCGGUAUCUGCAGAAUAAGCACCGGCUAACUACGUGCCAGCAGCCGCGGUAAUAC